GAGGGGGCGUGCGGGGGGCGGCCUCCGGCCGGCUCCCCGCCGGGGCGCACGGCUUGGGGCACGGGGCUGCGGGAGGGGGCUUUUCGCCCCGACACGGGGGGGAUGUUCCUCUUCUCUGCGCGUUCGCGCCCUCUCUUCCCUUUAAAAACCCGUUUACAGUCGUGUUACGGCCAUUCAUUAUUUAUUUCUGUCGCUUGCUCCCGCAGGAGACCCGCGGUGCCUCCGUGUGACUGCGCUGCAUCGUGGCGGCGGCUCCGGUGCUGCGCUGCCCGGCGACAGCCCCCCUGUCCCUGUCCCCCUCUGUCCCCCCGCUCCGCCCCCCCCUCUCUCCCCCCAUCGCCCCCUUUUCCUUAUGCUCAGUCGGACAGCCCAGGGGGAGGGGGAGGGGGGAUGCUUCCAGCCACGGCACCCCCGGGGCGCCCCGUCCGGGAAAAUCACCCGCUGGUGGUGGUGGUGAUGGGGCAGUGCACCUGUUUGCGGCGGGGGCUGGGCGGGGGUCCCGGCCUGGAGCUCGCCUCCCCCCAGCCCGAGCACCUCGGCCGCUGCGGGCGCCCCCCGGCCCGUCGGGGCUGGCAGCGCCCGCUCCCCUCCGCGGCCCCGGGCUGCCGAGAGCCGCUGCUCCUCCCCGUGGGACGUUCCUGCCUGCUGGGGCCCUCGGUGAUGCUCUGAAGCAUGGUCCCCACCAUCCCCCCCAGUGACACUGCCCCAAAGCAUCAGGCGCACCCAUGGGACGUGUCAUCCUUUGGGGAACACCGGGACGUGGUGAUUUUGAUUCCUCCCUCCAGUUCAGGACCCACAGGACGGUUUAUCAGCUGUGCAAGGGAACAGCACUCCCUGUGGGGCUGGCUGGUCUCUGGCUGUGUGCCUUUUUGCCUGGUCCUGUCCCGUGGGACAAGGACCCACCUUGUCAUGCUACUGCAGGCACCCACAGCUGUUAUCAGCUUUUCCCCUUCCCAGACCAUCACUGGUUCUAGAGGAAUGGGGUACAUGGGUCUGCUGAUCCUUGACCAUGUGAAGAUUUUGCUGUAAUUUCUGGAAAUUUGGCUCUGCUCACACUGAGCACCUGGGCUGCAGGGGAAGGUCAGGGCUUCAGAUGUGCUUAAGAGAACUUGCCCCGUGUCAUUAUGACUCUGAAAAAGUAAACGCGGAGAGGGCACGCAGCUUCUUACAAAGUACAGCACCUGUCUCCUGAGGUCUCUGUUGAACUCUAAACAUCGCCUUGGAAAGCACACAAACUCUCAAUCCAGCUGCCAAUUCAGAGGGCCCCGGGAGACACACUGCGUGUGUGGGUGUGGAGGGAAAGGAGCUCUCGCUAGUGGGAAGUAAACACUUAAUGAACUAAUUAUAUGUAGAAUGGGCAAAGUGUCUGACUCCCUGACACACAAUAUAAACGUACUUACAUGUGAAGGAAAUACGUGAUUUGUAUCAUUUCAUUGUUACUGUCAAGAGCUUAAUGGGGUUCAGAAAAGGAUUAGCUAUUAUGAAUAGUGGGAACGUUCACUUAACAAUAAAUAGGCCAAAAAUUAAGAACGGAUCUCAGCCUUAUGCGUCAACUUAUUAGUCAGCCCUCCGUUAACGAUGGGUAGGGAAGGGAAAGCAAGCCUUCCACCGGGGUCAGCUUGUUCCCUCACCCUACAAAGACUCACCUGAUGGCUCUCUCCCACGUCGUGUUUUGGCAGCUGUCAGAGGUGGGCAGCUGGGCUUCUCCUGCAUGGUCCUUCACACGUUCCUGCUCUUUGGUCUUCCACACCUUGAAAGUCAUCUCCUAAGGAAGAGGCACUUCUCUGCCCAGUGUUUGCUACUGGACUGAUCUUGGCCAGCAUCCCUUAAAGCUGUGGGUUGUGAGAGGCCAGGCCGACAAAGAAGUUUAAUAAGGUAAUUAGUAAUUCAGCUACUUCUUUUUAUUUCUCCUCUGGGGCAACUUGCUACCAUUGACCUUUUUUCAAACCUUUCCUUGUCUGUUCCUCCCCAGAAGGACUUUCUGGCUUCCAAGCACGAUGCUCAAUAUGCAAGGCUAGAAGUUCCACUAUCAACAUGUUCCCCCACGUGUUAUUUAUUAUUCAUAAACCUCCCGGGUUUCAGUGUCACUCUGAGUUAGCACAAUUUUUCAUAUGGUUGUUUAGCACUUUGCAACGUGGCACAUAUUCAGUAAGAGGAGACUUUUUAAACACACUCUCACACACACACAUACAGAAUAAGGUCAUUAGCAUAUCCUGCAUGUUCAAGUCCAAGUCUUUGGAAAAAAAUAUUUGGAAACACAGUAAAAAAGUUGUUACAUUAAUAAUAAUAAACAUGAGAUUCUGCAAAAUGCCGUAUCAUAUCUUUAUCUUACAUUGAGUAAUUUGUUGGAAUGACUAUAAGAAGUGACUGACCCUCCAGCCUACGUCACUGCAGAGCUCUCUGGGUCCCAGGGGGUACAAAUGACAACAGUCCCAGCCCAUCGCCCCUUCAGGUCGAGUAGAUUUCAGAACACGUGUGUAAAUUUUGGUGGGACACCAGCCCGGGACAUGAGUGCCAAAGACGCUCUUCACAACCACAGAUGGAGCUUUCCAUGUCUUACAGAGGAGGUAAUUUGUGGUCAGAUCUUGCCCCCACAGAGGAGUAGGAAAGUUUGGGCCCAGAUUUUGAUUAGCUCACAGGGGAGGUGAGGGAGGUGGGCUCUCUCAUGACCGGCGAAGCAGGCUUGCUUUAUGCGGUGUGAGCAGAGCUGGAUGUUUGCACUUGGGUGCAGAUCAGCCUCUUAACUUUUAGUGGUGACUCAAUGGCACAAAGGAUGACAGAGCUAUUAAUUAUUUGUUCUCCAGGCUAGGAAGCUAAACUGUAUAUCUGUAAAAUAGAAGGAGAUCUUCAGCUCAUGCCACCAAAGUGCAAAGCAUUGCAUUAUUUUAUUGUCUACCUCUCCUCCCACACUGCAUUUAUGGUAAGAUGUAUGUGUUGUUAUUCCAACGCCAGUUUGAUAAAUGGGUGUCAUAGCUUUGACUAUUCAGUCAUGAUGGCUGUGUAACCUCCCGUAACUUAUUCUGUUGCCUACUACUUUUUUUUUUUUUUUUUUCUGGUUCUAUAGAAGGCAUUGUGAACUGUGAAAUCUUUGUACAAAAAUUGUUUUAUGCCCAAUUAUUAGGAGUGCAUUAGAAAUUAAAAAAUUGAAACUCUG